rnacentral:rRNA from 1 species
UUAAGCGACUAAGCGUACACGGUGGAUGCCCUGGCAGUCAGAGGCGAUGAAGGACGUGCUAAUCUGCGAAAAGCGUCGGUAAGGUGAUAUGAACCGUUAUAGCCGGCGAUGUCCGAAUGGGGAAACCCAGUGUAAUUCGUUGCACUAUCGUUAACUGAAUACAUAGGUUAACGAGGCGAACCGGGGGAACUGAAACAUCUAAGUACCCCGAGGAAAAGAAAUCAACCGAGAUUCCCCCAGUAGCGGCGAGCGAACGGGGAGCAGCCCAGAGUCUGAAUCAGCUUGUGUGUUAGUGGAACGGUCUGGAAAGUCCGACGGUACAGGGUGAUAGUCCCGUACACCAAAAUGCACAGGUUGUGAACUCGAAGAGUAGGGCGGGACACGUGGUAUCCUGUCUGAAUAUGGGGGGACCAUCCUCCAAGGCUAAAUACUCCUGACUGACCGAUAGUGAACCAGUACCGUGAGGGAAAGGCGAAAAGAACCCCGGCGAGGGGAGUGAAAAAGAACCUGAAACCGUGUACGUACAAGCAGUGGGAGCACCUUCGGGUGUGACUGCGUACCUUUUGUAUAAUGGGUCAGCGACUUAUAUUCUGUAGCAAGGUUAACCGUAUAGGGGAGCCGCAGGGAAACCGAGUCUUAACUGGGCGUUAAGUUGCAGGGUAUAGACCCGAAACCCGGUGAUCUAGCCAUGGGCAGGUUGAAGGUUGGGUAACACUAACUGGAGGACCGAACCGACUAAUGUUGAAAAAUUAGCGGAUGACUUGUGGCUGGGGGUGAAAGGCCAAUCAAACCGGGAGAUAGCUGGUUCUCCCCGAAAGCUAUUUAGGUAGCGCCUCGUGAACUCAUCUUCGGGGGUAGAGCACUGUUUCGGCUAGGGGGUCAUCCCGACUUACCAACCCGAUGCAAACUACGAAUACCGAAGAAUGUUAUCACGGGAGACACACGGCGGGUGCUAACGUCCGUCGUGAAGAGGGAAACAACCCAGACCGCCAGCUAAGGUCCCAAAGUCAUGGUUAAGUGGGAAACGAUGUGGGAAGGCACAGACAGCCAGGAUGUUGGCUUAGAAGCAGCCAUCAUUUAAAGAAAGCGUAAUAGCUCACUGGUCGAGUCGGCCUGCGCGGAAGAUGUAACGGGGCUAAACCAUGCACCGAAGCUGCGGCAGCGACACUAUGUGUUGUUGGGUAGGGGAGCGUUCUGUAAGCCUGCGAAGGUGUGCUGUGAGGCAUGCUGGAGGUAUCAGAAGUGCGAAUGCUGACAUAAGUAACGAUAAAGCGGGUGAAAAGCCCGCUCGCCGGAAGACCAAGGGUUCCUGUCCAACGUUAAUCGGGGCAGGGUGAGUCGACCCCUAAGGCGAGGCCGAAAGGCGUAGUCGAUGGGAAACAGGUUAAUAUUCCUGUACUUGGUGUUACUGCGAAGGGGGGACGGAGAAGGCUAUGUUAGCCGGGCGACGGUUGUCCCGGUUUAAGCAUGUAGGCUGGUUGUCCAGGCAAAUCCGGAUAAUCAAGGCUGAGGUGUGAUGACGAGGCACUACGGUGCUGAAGUAACAAAUGCCCUGCUUCCAGGAAAAGCCUCUAAGCAUCAGGUAACAUUAAAUCGUACCCCAAACCGACACAGGUGGUCAGGUAGAGAAUACCAAGGCGCUUGAGAGAACUCGGGUGAAGGAACUAGGCAAAAUGGUGCCGUAACUUCGGGAGAAGGCACGCUGGUGUGUAGGUGAAGUCCCUGCGGAUGGAGCUGAGACCAGUCGAAGAUACCAGCUGGCUGCAACUGUUUAUUAAAAACACAGCACUGUGCAAACACGAAAGUGGACGUAUACGGUGUGACGCCUGCCCGGUGCCGGAAGGUUAAUUGAUGGGGUUAUCCGUAAGGAGAAGCUCUUGAUCGAAGCCCCGGUAAACGGCGGCCGUAACUAUAACGGUCCUAAGGUAGCGAAAUUCCUUGUCGGGUAAGUUCCGACCUGCACGAAUGGCGUAAUGAUGGCCAGGCUGUCUCCACCCGAGACUCAGUGAAAUUGAACUCGCUGUGAAGAUGCAGUGUACCCGCGGCAAGACGGAAAGACCCCGUGAACCUUUACUAUAGCUUGACACUGAACAUUGAGCCUUGAUGUGUAGGAUAGGUGGGAGGCUUUGAAGCGUGGACGCCAGUCUGCGUGGAGCCAACCUUGAAAUACCACCCUUUAAUGUUUGAUGUUCUAACGUUGGCCCCU